GUUAAUAUUCAUGUAUAUAUAAUUUUACGAUAACAUAUUUUUUUUUUUCGAGUAAUAAAUAAAACAACAUAUAACGUUUUGAAUUAUUUUAUUUAUAUAUUAGCAUAUACAUGUUCCUAUAUUAUAUAGUGCGUUUAUUUUGUUCACUAUAAAGACAAAGAAUGCUUGAAUUUUUAUAUAUUAUUUAUAAUAUAUAUUUAUAUUAACUUUUUAUGUACUCUCUUUUUGAUUAUAUAAUUGUUAACAAUAUAUUUUUCAUAUACUCAGACAAAAUUGAUACUCCGCGUGUUGUGGAUAUUUAUUAUUUUAUAAUUUUUUAAUUCAUUUUAUUGUAUUAUAUAAUAUUUAAUUAUAUGGCAUUUUUGCUUUAUUAUUUUUUAUUACAUUUUAUUACAUUUUAUUAUAGUUUUUUGUAUUUUGUUAUAGUCUAUUAUAGUAUAUUACAUUUUUUGUUUUUUUGUUUUUUUGUUUUUUAAAUAAAAAACAUUUAUUUACCAUUAUAAGUAUUAAUUAAAUUUAUAUAGUCAGUGAAGAUGAUGAAAAAACAAGUAAUACUGUUUAUCGCGUUGUUAAUUUUUUAUUUUUUUUUAAUAAAUAGUGUCGACGGUAAAAAGAAAAAAAAAAAAAAAGUAAGUUCUUCUAAUGAUGGAAGUACCAAGGUUACUACGAAAGCUAAUAAUAAUGUGGAUAAUGACGAUGAAGUUCAAAACAUAGACCCUAACGAAAUUGCAAGUGAUGAAGACAAAAAUAAAACUGCAAAACUGCUUAAUUUUGACCAUAUGCAUAUGGAGGAAAUAGAACAGAUUAAAAAACUAAUGAAUGAAAAUAAAAUGGAAGAAGCCAGGAAAAUGUUUAAUGAGUUAAAAAAAAAAAUGUUUAAUAAUAAAAAUGAUGACACAUAUGAUGAGAAUGAUGAAACUGAAGUAAAUGAAGAGGUUGAAAAUAAAAACAGUGAUCAAUCUGAUGAAAAUGAUGAAAGUAGUGAAUAUAAUAUAUUGAAUAAUAAUUUUCAAUUGUCAGAUUUAGCUAAUUAUGAUUUUUUUAGCACUUUAAUAAACCCUAAUGAUUUACAAGAAGUUAUUAAAUUUCACAUGUACUUACAGAAAUUGUUAAAAUCAAAAAAUGAAACUUCAGAAAAAAAAAUGGUCAAAACAUUUUUAAGAAAAACUAUGCAAAAAAUGAAAGAUAAUGAAAAAAGUGAACAAAAAAGAUCUAUUGAUGACAUUAUUAAAGAUACAGAGGGACAUAAAGAAAUGUUAGAAAAGUUAGCGGAUUUUAUAAAAAUAGAUAGAGAAAAAUUAAAAGAUGAGCAAAUAAGAAAUAAAUUAAAUCAAAUACUAAUAGGUAUGUUACAAUUUAUUGAAUAUACCAAUGAUAAUAGAAUCACGGACUCUCUCCUGGAAGAUAUUCAAAUAGAAGAUGUGGUUGCACCUGAUGGAACCGUUAAACCAAAAAUACAAUUAAAUGUUAAAAAUAGUAAAACGCAUUUAGAAAUGUUACAAAAGGCAACUAAAUUUAUGGGCUUAGAAAUAGAUACAGAGGAUUUGAAAAACUUAACAAUCAAUAAUAAAUGGUAUGAGAGUUUUUUAAAUAAUAUGCUUAACAGCUCAGAUGAACUUUAAACGA
rnacentral:lncRNA from 1 species